GUUUACGGCCAUAGCACCCUGAAUGUGCCCAAUCUCGUCUGAUCUCGAAAGCUAAGCAGGGUCAGGCCUGGUUAGUACUUGGAUAGGAGACCACCUAGGAAUACCAGAUGCUGUAGGCA
rnacentral:rRNA from 1 species